rnacentral:tRNA from 15 species
CGGGGCGUAGCGCAGCUUGGUAGCGCACUACUUUGGGGUAGUAGGGGUCGCAGGUUCAAAUCCUGUCGCUCCGA